ensembl:lncRNA
CUGUACUGGAACCACAGAAUUAGAAUGACUCUGAUUCUAUGAUUCUAAUUCUAUACACUGUACUGGAACCACAGAAUUAGAAUGACUCUGAUUCUAAGAUUCUAAUUCUAUACACUGUACUGGAACCACAGAAUUAGAAUGACUCUGAUUCUAUGAUUCUAAUUCUAUACACUGUACUGGAACCACAGAAUUAGAAUGACUCUGAUUCUAAGAUUCUAAUUCUAUACACUGUACUGGAACCACAGAAUUAGAAUGACUCUGAUUCUAUGAUUCUAAUUCUAUACACUGUACUGGGACAUUGGUAUGCGCUGUAUACUGUAGAAUCCCAGCAGCUGAUAACGGCAUUGAUCAGGUCCAACAAGGGAUGAUAUGUUACAAGAACACUGGACAUUUUCACACUGUAUCUCUGUAUCACUGUAUCUUGCCCAAUGGAUUUAAUAAUGCUUAACCACUAGCCAAAUACGAUGUGUGUUUAAGAAGUACUUUCUUAGCUAUAUAUUUUCUGUUUUAUUUUGUUUGAAUGGUAGAAGAUCAGAGACGACUUUCUGCUCUGGAUCGUGAUGUUGAUAGUCUCUCCAGACAUGUUGAUAGUCUCUCCCGUAGUCUCUCCAGACAUCUGCUUUGCCUCCCACAAUUUUCAAAUGCUCCAACUUAGGGUCUGGUUUUCAAGACUAGACAACACAAGUAUUGACAUCUGAACAGCGUUUUUUUUAAACCCCUGGUGCCUUAUCUUUCUCUAUAAAACAGGAAGGCUGUCAUCUUAUCACCAGACAGAAGCAGCUCAUGGACUUGAUUGAAUGCUGUUCAUGUCUGAGCUAAUAGAGGCAUCCAUUUUGUGACCUGGGACUUGUAUAACCGAACAAGAAAGAAAGGGUUACCAGAGGUCACUCUAACACCUUCCUGAAUGAGUCCAGAGAUCACUCUAACAUUCUCCUGAAUGAGUCCAGAGAUCACUCUAACAUUCUCCUGAAUGAGUCCAGAGAUCACUCUAACACCUUCCUGAAUGAGUCCAGAGAUCACUCUAACAUUCUCCUGAAUGAGUCCAGAGGUCACUCUAACAUUCUCCUGAAUGAGUCCAGAGGUCACUCUAACAUUCUCCUGAAUGAGUCCAGAGGUCACUCUAACAUUCUCCUGAAUGAGUCCAGAGGUCACUCUAACAUUCUCCUGAAUGAGUCCAGAGGUCACUCUAACAUUCUCUGAAUGAGUCCAGAGGUCACGCUAACAUUCUCCUGAAUGAGUCCAGAGGUCACUCUAACAUUCUCCUGAAUGAGUCCAGAGGUCACUAACACCUUCCUGAAUGAGUCCAGAGGUCACUAACAUUCUCCUGAAUGAGUCCAGAGGUCACUCUAACAUUCUCUGAAUGAGUCCAGAGGUCACUAACAUUCUCCUGAUUGAGUCCAGAGGUCACUAACAUUCUCCUGAAUGAGUCCAGAGGUCACUCUACCACCUUCCUGAAUGAGUCCAGAGGUCACUAACACCUUCCUGAAAGAGUCCAGAGAUCACUAACACCUUCCUGAAUGAGUCCAGAGGUCACUAACACCUUCCUGAAUGAGUCCAGGGGUCACUAACACCUUACUGAAUGAGUCCAGAGGUCACUAACACCUUCCUGAAUGAGUCCAGAGAUCACUAACACCUUCCUGAAUGAGUCCAGAGGUCACUAACACCUUCCUGAAUGAGUCCAGGGGUCACUAACACCUUACUGAAUGAGUCCAGAGGUCACUAACACCUUCCUGAAUGAGUCCAGAGGUCACUAACACCUUCCUGAAUGAGUCCAGAGGUCACUAACACCUUCCUGAAUGAGUCCAGAGGUCACUAACACCUUCCUGAAUGAGUCCAGAGGUCACUAACACCUUCCUGAAUGAGUCCAGAGGUCACUAACACCUUCCUGAAUGAGUCCAGAGGUCACUAACACCUUCCUGAAUGAGUCCAGAGGUCACUAACAUUGAUUGCUCUAAAUCUGUGUAACACUUUUUGUCUUCCCCUCUCUGACGGGAAACAACACCCUGUCCCCGAAGUCAUGUUUAUACCUCCUCUGGAAAUAGUUUUUCAUAUGUCCUCUGUUAUUGUCUUUCCCUUUACUCACUGACCACUCCCCUCUUUGAUAUACUAUUGGCCAUGUUCCUCAUAUGUCGGAACUAUACACUACUUAUUAUAUACAUGUGUGAUGAAGGACCCUUUGGACAUCUGGUAUCUGAAUGGUAUCAAGUUAACAAAGUAUUCUGAUUCUGUGAUCAGGUGUGUUGAAACAGGUGUGUUGAAACACAGUCCCUCUAAGGUGUGUUGAAGAUCUCACCUGACCUGUUGUGUCAUGAGAAAUAUAAAUUUUAAAAAACAUAAUCAAAUGAAUAUACUUCAUUGAACAUGACAAAAUAUAAAGACAUUGUACUAUACUGUAUUACCAAUAUGAUGUUGACAUACAUGAGUACAGUGUAAUAUUUUAGCUUAUUUAUAAUGCACCAGCCAGCCUUUACAGUAAAACCAGCAUAGCAUUGUAUAUAUCAACUGAUUUAUGCUCUCUUGGGUGGUUGCAUCUGGUUCCAACUGGUUUCAACUGGUUUCAAAUGGUUCCAACUGGUUUCAACUGGUUCCAACUGGCUCCAUCUGGUUCCAACUGGUUCCACAUGGUUUCAACUGGUUCCAACUGGUUUCAACUGGUUCCAAAUGGUUCCAACUGGUUCCACAUGGUUUCAACUGGUUCCAACUGGUUUCAACUGGUUCCAAAUGGUUCCAACUUGUUCCACGUGGUUUCAACUGGUUUCAACUGGUUCCAAAUGGUUCCAACUAGUUCCAAAUGGUUCCAACUGGUUCCACGUGGUUUCAACUGGUUCCAACUGGUUCCAACUUGUUCCACGUGGUUUCAACUGGUUCCACGUGGUUUCAACUGGUUCCAAAUGGUUCCAACUAGUUCCAAAUGGUUCCAACUGGUUCCACGUGGUUUCAACUGGUUCCAACUGGUUCCACGUGGUUUCAACUGGUUCCAACUGGUUCCACGUGGUUUCAACUGGUUCCAACUGGUUUCAAAUGGUUCCAACUGGUUCCAAAUGGUUCCAACUGGUUCCAAGUGGUUCCAACUGGUUUUAAAUGGUAUAGAAAUUCAUCAACUGUUCCUGUGUAGCUUCAUUUUGUAACAAUGUAUGUUCCUUUUUAUGUUAUUUUAGUUAUAUCAUUAUACUGUUGACUGUUGUUACUCUAUCCUUGUUGUUGUUGUUGUUAUAUUAUUCAUAUGUAAACAUUGUUAUGCUAUAUUAUGAAACUCUGUGCCAAUCAAAAUCGCUAUUCGGCUUUUACCUGUCUCACUGGAUAAGAAAACACACACAGAGAGAGAAAGAGAGAGAGAGAGUAGAGAAUUGAAGGAGUUUGUCUGGUGGGAGUCCGUGAUGUCAUCGGGCUCCAUCUUGCUUGAGGAACUGCAGAGACCUAAGGAGGAAAGGCCAUCCUGUGUCACACCCUGUCACACCUGGACUACCGAUUGAGAUGUGGCUUUUGUUAAGGAAAUCAGGUGUUAAAUGACACUUUAAAUCUUUACUUCAUUUUUUAAAAUACGUUUAUCUUAUUACUCUAAUUCUUAUGGCUUAAAGCCCUUCAGAGCACUAAAAUACUUAAUGAAAGCAUAAAUACCCCUCCUUCAUUCACCUCUAUACUAUUCCUGUUCCUGCUUUUAAAGUCCUCCCUAUAAAUGUGUGAUUUUUAGUCUUACCUCUUACUUUAUUUUUAAUACACGAUCAUUACAUUUAUUUUGGAACCUUUGCUGUUUUGUAUUUUUGUGUUAAAGAGCAUGUUGCCAUAAUAUGAAUGCAGUGAAUAAAAUAUUGAUUGAAAACAAA